GACGUAGGGCGCGAGCGUGUCCGGAUUUAUUGGGCGUAAAGAGCUCGUAGGCGGUCUGUCGCGUCGGCUGUGAAAACUCGGGGCUCAACCCCGAGCCUGCAGUCGAUACGGGCAGACUAGAGUGCGGUAGGGGAGACUGGAAUUCCGUGGUGUAGCGGUGAAAUGCGCAGAUAUCAGGAGGAACACCGGUGGCGAAGGCGGGUCUCUGGGCCGUAACUGACGCUGAGGAGCGAAAGCGUGGGGAGCAAACAGG
rnacentral:rRNA from 1 species